rnacentral:rRNA from 1 species
CCUACGGGAGGCUGCAGUGGGGAAUAUUGGACAAUGGGGGCAACCCUGAUCCAGCCAUGCCGCGUGUGUGAAGAAGGCCCUCGGGUUGUAAAGCACUUUCAGUGAGGAAGAACGCCUGGUGGUUAAUACCCAUCAGGAAAGACAUCACUCACAGAAGAAGCACCGGCUAACUCCGUGCCAGCAGCCGCGGUAAUACGGAGGGUGCGAGCGUUAAUCGGAAUUACAGGGCGUAAAGCGCGCGUAGGUGGCUUGAUAAGCCGGUUGUGAAAGCCCCGGGCUCAACCUGGGAACGGCAUCCGGAACUGUCAAGCUAGAGUGCAGGAGAGGAAGGUAGAAUUCCCGGUGUAGCGGUGAAAUGCGUAGAGAUCGGGAGGAAUACCAGUGGCGAAGGCGGCCUUCUGGACUGACACUGACACUGAGGUGCGAAAGCGUGGGUAGCAAACAGGAUUAGAUACCCCUGUAGUC